UACGUAGGUGGCAAGCGAUACUCGGAAUCACUAGGCGUAAAGCGCAGGUAGGCGGUUCGGUAAGUCUCUUGUGAAAGCUCCUGGCUCAACUGGGAGAGGUCAAGGGAAACUACCGGGCUAGAGUGUGGUAGGGGAUACUGGAAUUCCUGGUGUAGCGGUGAAAUGCGUAGAUAUCAGGAGGAAUACCUAUGGCGAAAGCAGGUAUCUGGGCCAUCACUGACGCUGAGCUGCGAAAGCUAGGGGAGCAAACAGG
rnacentral:rRNA from 1 species